UAAGUGUAAAAAGCUUUUGGAAUAAGAGCUGGGCAAGACCGGUGCCAGCCGCCGCGGUAACACCGGCAGCUCUAGUGGUAGCUGUUUUUAUUGGGCCUAAAGCGUUCGUAGCCGGUUUGAUAAGUCACUGGUGAAAUCCUGUAGCUUAACUGUGGGAAUUGCUGGUGAUACUGUUGAACUUGAGGUCGGGAGAGGUUAGCGGUACUCCCAGGGUAGAGGUGAAAUUCUGUAAUCCUGGGAGGACCACCUGUGGCGAAGGCGGCUAACUGGAACGAACCUGACGGUGAGGGACGAAAGCUAGGGGCGCGAACCGGAUUAGAUACCCGGGUAGUCCUAGCCGUAAACGGUGCGGACUUGGUGUUGGGAUGGCUUUGAGCCGCUCCGGUGCCGAAGGGAAGCUGUUAAGUCCGCCGCCUGGGAAGUACGGUCGCAAGACUGAAACUUAA
rnacentral:rRNA from 1 species